rnacentral:rRNA from 1 species
UACGGAGGAUCCAAGCGUUAUCCGGAAUCAUUGGGUUUAAAGGGUCCGUAGGCGGUUUGGUAGUCAGUGGUGAAAGCCCAUCGCUCAACGGUGGAACGGCCAUUGAUACUGCCAGACUUGAAUUAUUAGGAAGUAACUAGAAUAUGUAGUGUAGCGGUGAAAUGCUUAGAGAUUACAUGGAAUACCAAUUGCGAAGGCAGGUUACUACUAAUGGAUUGACGCUGAUGGACGAAAGCGUGGGUAGCGAACAGG